rnacentral:rRNA from 1 species
UGGGGAAUAUUGCACAAUGGGCGCAAGACUGAUGCAGCCAUGCCGCGUGUGUGAAGAAGGCCUUCGGGUUGUAAAGCACUUUCAGCGGGGAGGAAGGCGUUAAGGUUAAUAACCUUGGCGAUUGACGUUACCCGCAGAAGAAGCACCGGCUAACUCCGUGCCAGCAGCCGCGGUAAUACGGAGGGUGCAAGCGUUAAUCGGAAUUACUGGGCGUAAAGCGCACGCAGGCGGUCUGUCAAGUCGGAUGUGAAAUCCCCGGGCUCAACCUGGGAACUGCAUUCGAAACUGGCAGGCUAGAGUCUUGUAGAGGGGGGUAGAAUUCCAGGUGUAGCGGUGAAGUGCGUAGAGAUCUGGAGGAAUACCGGUGGCGAAGGCGGCCCCCUGGACAAAGACUGACGCUCAGGUGCGAAAGCGUGGGGAGCAAACAGG